rnacentral:rRNA from 1 species
CCCGCCGGAGACACCACGAACUCUGUCUGAUCUAGUGAAGUCUGAGUUGAUUGUAUCGCAAUCAGUUAAAACUUUCAACAAUGGAUCUCUUGGUUCCGGCAUCGAUGAAGAACGCAGCGAAAUGCGAUAACUAGUGUGAAUUGCAGAAUUCCGUGAAUCAUCGAGUCUUUGAACGCACAUUGCGCCCCCUGGUAUUCCGGGGGGCAUGCCUGUCCGAGCGUCAUUGCUGCCCAUCAAGCACGGCUUGUGUGUUGGGUCGUCGUCCCCUCUUCGGGGGGGACGGGCCCCAAAGGCAGCGGCGGCACCGCGUCCGACUCGAGCGUAUGGGGCUUUGUCACCCGCUCUGUAGGCCCGGCCGGCGCUUGCC